rnacentral:tRNA from 1 species
GGCACCAUAGCCAAGUGGUAAGGCAGAGGUCUGCAAAAUCUCUAUCUCCGGUUCAAAUCCGGGUGGUGCCUCCA